GACGAACGCUGGCGGCGUGCCUAAUACAUGCAAGUCGAGCGAAUGACGAGAAGCUUGCUUCUCUGAUUUAGCGGCGGACGGGUGAGUAACACGUGGGCAACCUGCCCUACAGAUCGGGAUAACUCAGGGAAACCUGGGCUAAUACCGGAUAAUCCUUCGAAUCACAUGUUUUGAAGUUGAAAGGCGCUUCGGCGUCACUGUAGGAUGGGCCCGCGGUGCAUUAGCUAGUUGGUGGGGUAACGGCCUACCAAGGCAACGAUGCAUAGCCGACCUGAGAGGGUGAUCGACCCAAUUGGGACUGAGACACGGCCCAAACUCCUACGGGAGGCAGCAGUAGGGAAUCUUCCACAAUGGACGAAAGUCUGAUGGAGCAACGCCGCGUGAGUGAUGAAGGUUUUCGGAUCGUAAAACUCUGUUGUAAGGGAAGAACAAGUACGUUAGGAAAUGAACGUACCUUGACGGUACCUUAUUAGAAAGCCACGGCUAACUACGUGCCAGCCGCCGCAGUAAUAC
rnacentral:rRNA from 1 species